rnacentral:lncRNA from 1 species
CUCCCCCCUCACUGAGGCUCUGGCUGCAGGUCUUCAUGAUCAACCUGAAGCGGAGGCUGGACCGGCGAGAGCGCAUGCUGCGGGCACUGCAUGAGCAGGAGAUUGACUUCCAGCUGGUAGAGGCUGUGGACGGCAAGUGCGUACUAUGUGCUUGUAUGCGUGUGCGUGUACAUGUGCAUGCAUGCAUGCGUGUGUGUGCGUGUGUGUAUGCGCAUGCAUUUGCGUGUGUUUAUAUGUGCACUUGUGUGUCUGUGUGUGCACGUGUGCUUGUACACACAGCCAUUUGGGAAGCAUGGAAGGGAUGGAGCCAUUCUGGCAGACCUCAGUACAGCUGUGGGAGAGGAAUGAGUGAGUCCACAGCCAGGGAACAAGAAGGUUCUCAUCCUGGGACAAGCUGCUAUGUUCUUGUACAAAGUGAU